rnacentral:rRNA from 1 species
CAGCAGCCGCGGUAAUACCGGCGGCCCGAGUGGCGGCCACUAUUAUUGGGCUUAAAGCGUCCGUAGCCGGGUUGGUUAGUCUCCCGGGAAAUCUGGCCGCUUAACGGUCAGAAUUCCGGGAGAUACUGCCAGCCUAGGGACCGGGAGAGGCCGAGGGGAUUCCCGGAGUAGGGGUGAAAUCCUAUAAUCCCGGGAGGACCACCUGUGGCGAAGGCGCUCGGCUGGAACGGGUCCGACGGUGAGGGACGAAGGCCAGGGGAGCAAACCGGAUUAGAUACCCGGGUAGUCCUGGGUGUAAACGAUGCGGACUUUGUGUCGGACAAGCUAUGAGCUUGUCCGGUGCCGGAGGGAAACCGUUAAGUCCGCCGCCUGGGGAGUACGGCCGCAAGGCUGAAACUUAAAGGAAUUGGCGGG